AACUUAUUGUGUAUGUUCUGACUUGUUUUCUCCUCAUAGGUUGUAGCUCUGGCCAAUCAGAAACUGCUGGGAUUAGAUCCUGAACGGCUGAAUGCACAUGGAGGGGCUGUUGCACUGGGACAUCCACUAGGAUGCAGCGGUGCUCGUAUUUUAGUCACAUUAUUAGGGGUGUUGAGAGCAAAGAAGGGAAAGUAUGGAGUGGCAUCAAUAUGCAACGGAGGAGGAGGAGCAUCAGCACUUGUUCUUGAGUUCAUGUAAGCUCCUUGGUAAGCAUAGCAUUUAG